rnacentral:rRNA from 1 species
ACUUCGGUACAUCGGUGACAGGUGGUGCAUGGUUGUCGUCAGCUCGUGUCGUGAGAUGUUCGGGUUAAGUCCCGCAACGAGCGCAACCCCCGCCGUUAGUUGCCAGCGGUUCGGCCGGGCACUCUAACGGGACUGCCCGCGAAAGCGGGAGGAAGGAGGGGGACGACGUCUGGUCAGCAUGGCCCUUACGGCCUGGGCGACACACGUGCUACAAUGCCCACUACAAAGCGAUGCCACCCGGCAACGGGGAGCUAAUCGCAAAAAGGUGGGCCCAGUUCGGAUUGGGGUCUGCAACCGACCCCAUGAAGCCGGAAUCGCUAGUAAUCGCGGAUCAGCCAUGCCGCGGUGAAUACGUUCCCGGGCCUU